CCCUGAGCUGGUCACUUGCACUUGGAGACUUCUCAGCAGGGGACAGAGAUCAGGAACACAGUGUUCUCGACACUCUAGAGCCUGUGCUGCCCAAUAGGGGGUCUUUGUUUUGUUGUGCGAGGCCGUUACCAGGCAACCUGGCAGCUGACUCACUGUAAUUUCAGGGCUAGUCAAGUACCUGUGGGCCUCCUCCCCCAACACCAGGGAGCCCAGAAGCCCCACCUGUGAGGAGGGGUCCCUUCAGGGGGUCUCAGGCAGAACAAUGCAUUGUCCUCCUGAGGGGUCUGUGGAGGUUUAGUUCCCAGGACCCUUCCUCCACUCACUGGUCCACUCUACCUCCAAGAAGGGCAGCACUCCAACCACAGGUCUUAGGCCAGAAGCGCUUGCUGGCAGCCUAGCUAAAGUACUCAGAUGAACAGUGCUGGAAGCAGUGAAGUCCUCAGCUCAUAUGGACACUCAGAUCAAUUUACUUGAGAGAGAACUAAAACCAAAUCAACUUCUUCUGAGAAAGGAAGAAUAAUUGCCACCUUUGGAGUAAACAUCUAAUGGGACAAUGGCCUGCGACAGUGAUCCACGAUGUGUGGUGUCACGAAGGUCAGGGGCACAGGCUCUGGGACAGGUGACAGGUUCAAAGCCACAUCAUCUAUUCCGUAUGCCAGCUGAGGGCCUGGGACGAGCUCCUUCUCUGGGCUGUGUUUCAUCUCAUCACAUGGAGCCCCUUGCGGAUGCAGGGUUAUGAAGAUUAGCACGUCCACUGAUAAUCCUGUCCAUCGCACAGCAAGCAUCCAAAAUGCCUCUUCUUGGUGAACAACCUCCUCUCCAGGAACAGACUCCUGACUCACUGCAGCCGCUCCUGCAGCCUCUCUCUGUGCUCCCGUCUCAGUGCUCCCCUCAGAGACCAGCGCACCACUGCAAAGCUUAGAGACAGUCACGCCACGGAGACGCAGGGUGCCUGUCGUCUUCGUCCCUAGAGCUCUGCUGGUUCCACGGUGGGCAGAUGAAAGGAAUCCUGGCCACAGGAGGUCAGUGACAACAAGGUCCCUCAAACUCACGGUCUGAGGAGAAGGGCCUGUUUCUUUCCGGAGUCGCCAUUCUUCAUGUCACUGCUCUUGGGUAACUCCACUGAUAGCCCUCAGAAGAUGAAAUAAACCUUGUCUGAUGGCCUUGUACCAG